rnacentral:sRNA from 1 species
AUCUCCUGAGACUUCACUUCAGCUUCACUGACUUCUGGAUUCUCCUCUUGAGUAAAAGGACUCAGCCAACUAUGAAGUUUUUUGUUUUUGCUUUAAUCUUGGCUCUCAUGCUUUCCAUGACUGGAGCUGAUUCACAUGAAAAGGUAAGACAUUUUCAUUUACUGGAAAACUUGAUAAUUAAUCAUAUAUUGAAUUUUUCAUCUUUUCUUUUUAUUUCAUAGAGACAUCAUGGGUAUAAAAGAAAAUUCCAUGAAAAGCAUCAUUCACAUCGAGGCUAUAGAUCAAAUUAUCUGUAUGACAAUUGAUAUCUUCAGUAAUCAUGGGGCAUGAUUAUGGAGGUUUGACUGGCAAAUUCGCUUUGGACUCGUGUAUUUUCAUUUGUCAUACCGCAUCACACUACCACUGCUUUUUGAAGAAUUAUCAUAAGGCAAUGCAGAAUAAAAGAAAUACCAUGAUUUAGUGAAUUCUGUGUUUCAGGAUAAUUCCCUUCCUAAUUAUCAUUUGAUUAGAUACUUGCAAUUUAAACUGUUAAGCUGUUUUCACUGCUGUUUCUGAGUAAUAGAAAUUCAUUCCUCUCCAAAAGCAAUAAAAUUCAAGCAC